rnacentral:rRNA from 1 species
AUUGAACGCUGGCGGAAUGCUUUACACAUGCAAGUCGAGCGGCAGCGCGGGGGCAACCCUGGCGGCGAGCGGCGAACGGGUGAGUAACACAUCGGAACGUACCCAGUGGUGGGGGAUAGCCCGGCGAAAGCCGGAUUAAUACCGCAUACGACCUGAGGGGGAAAGUGGGGGGACCGCAAGGCCUCACGCCGCUGGAGCGGCCGAUGUUCGAUUAGCUAGUUGGUGGGGUAAAAGGCCUACCAAGGCGACGAUCGAUAGCUGGUCUGAGAGGACGACCAGCCACACUGGAACUGAGACACGGUCCAGACUCCUAUGGGAGGCAGCAGUGGGGAAUUUUGGGACAAAUGGGGGGCAACCCUGAUCCAGCCAUG